CAGAAAUGGAUCUGGUACUUGGUAAGUAAUAUAAUUAUAGGUCUGAAACUACAUAACUGUGAAAGCAGUUUUAAGUGAGGAGCGUGUUGUUCUGUCUGUCUAUAUAUCUGGUCAUUGGUGUGUUGCUCCAUCUGGACAGCUACACCCACGGCCUGAUUUCAGACCUCAUCCUUCACUACCCGUGUACCUGUUUAGUUACUCCUGUGCGUCGUGUCAUCCCUUCAAUGACGCUUCAGAAUCAUUGAUCACUCACUCAGAUCAUCUACUUAUCCAUCAUAGUGUUUUUUCAGACUCCAUCAUUACCUAUUACUAUUCACUUAGUCCAAAGACUCUUUUCACUCAUCAAAUUAGUAACAAUUGUCUCUCCACUCUGUUACCUUGAAUCUUGGACCAAUGUCCAAGUCUCUCUGCUGCCAUCCACUGGGCAAUCUGAGUCGCUCACUGCUAAUUGGAACCUCAACACAGCUCAGUUCGCCCCCAAGUGACCUUCUACCAUAUUGCACGUUAUAGAUCUCAUGGCUAAUGAUACUUAAUUGCUGCCAAACCAAUAUCAUCUAUCUAAGGAGAUUUUACACAAUAGUGCUUCCUCUUAACUGUCAUAUUCGGUUAUUACUGUAUAUAUAAGUAUAUUGUAAAUACCUUUCAUUAUUAUUGUCAUUAAUGUUAUUGCAAAGUUAACUCCAUUGUGUCUGGACUCAAAUAUUACAGUAUAUGCCUAUUGUGAUAAAGUGCUUUCAUUUACUUUUAAAACUUUUUGUAAAACCUAAUAAAGAGACACUAUUGUUACCAGAACAACUACAACUUGUUGUAUUUGUUCUGGUGAAUAUAAUACUUCCCUUCAGGCUUUUUUCAGUAAACACCUUCUUUUCAUAGAAAAGAUAGUGUUUACAUUACAGUCUCUACUGGCCACUCCUGUGAUGGCUACUAGAGGUGCUUCCUGGAGGCAGUGUUGCACAAUGUGCAACACUGAAUGUCAGUGUCUCCACCCUCUGCAUGGAGACACUGAACUUUUUAAUUCAAUGCCUCUCUAUGACGAGAUGCUGUUUGACCAGAGCAGCUCCGCCCACAACCCACCUUCUUGUCUGAGAUAAUCAGAUUUAACAAUGUCAGCCAAUCAAAUGCUGUCCUAUGGGAAAACAUUGUGAUUGGCUGUGAUUAUCAUUACUGAUGAUCUCAGCCAAGGAGGCAGAUCAGGUGCAGAGCCAGUACCAACAGAGUGAAAUAAAGGGGGCUAGAUAGUGUUUUUAACACUAUAGGGUCAGAAAUAUAUGUUUGUGUUCCUGGCUCUGUAAUGUUACUUUAAACUGGUUUUGUGUGAUGUUUUAAAUGAAUAUUGAUUGUAUUUAGUGCCAGCCAAAAGUCUAGCAGGCAAACCUGACUGCUCAAGAAAAAUCCUCAGAUAAAUUACGUUUGGAAGCACAUUUAUCAGACUUUUUAAUGUCUUACCCUAUUAGUCAUUAAAUAAUAUUUUAAAUAAAAGCCUUUUCUCAACAUAUAUUAGUACAAUAAAGUUUUGAAUCCUCCUCCGAAGCUCCUAUAAGCCGUGCUGCAAUUAGGGACAUGUCUGCUACUCAGCGAGCAGGCAGUGGCUGCUUACUGUAAUAAAAGCCAUACCAUUCAGCAGCUAUUGCUGCCCAGUUGCCAGCUUGUCAGUAAGCAAAUUCCAAAUUUUGGUGUUUGUGCUAGAAAGUGGGGUCUCUGUUCACUUGGACCCAUGGUAAUCAGCAAAUCAAAAAUAAAAAAGGUCUUCAGCAAUAAGUUCAGGUGGUUUAUUCAGUCAUCAAAAUGAAUGGGCCAUAUUUCAACACGUAUAUAUGUGUCUUUGUCAAGUUGAGAAAGAAACAUACAGUGCCUUGCAAAAGUAUUCACCCCCUUGACUUUUUACCUAUUUUGUUACAUUACAGCCUUAAGUUCAAUGUUUUAUUAAUAUGAAUUUUAUGUGAUGGAUCAGAACACAAUAGUCUAAGUUGGUGAAGUGAAAUUAGAAAAAUAUAGACAUAAAACUAUUUUUUAGAAAUAGAAAACAGAAUAUUGACAUGUGCAUAUGUUUUCACCUCCUUUGUUAUGAAGCCCAUAAAAAGCUCUGGUGCAACCAAUUACCUUCAGAAGUCACAUAAUUAGUGAAAUGAUGUCCACCUGUGUGCAAUCUAAGUGUCACAUGAUCUGCCAUCACAUAUACACACCUUUUUUGAAAGGCCCCAGAGGCUGCAACACCUAAGCAAGAGGCACCACUAACCAAAAACUGACAUGGAGACCAAGGAACUCUCCAAACAAGUAAUGGACAAUGUUAUUGAGAAGAACAAGUCUUCUUUUUAGGUUAUAAAAAAAUAUUCAAAUCUUUGAUGACCCCCAGGAGCACCAUCAAAUCUAUCAUAACCAAAUGGAAAGAACAUGGCACAACAGCAAACCUGCCAAGAGACAGUUACCCACCAAAACUCACAGACCGGGCAAGGAGGGCAUUAAUCAGAAAGGCAACACAGAGACCUAAGGUAACCCUGGAGGAGCUGCAGAGUUCCACAGCAGAGACUGUAGUAUCUGUACAUAGGAUGACAAUAAGCCAUACGCUCCAGAGAGUUGGGCUUUGUAACGGACCGUUUGCCCACAAGAGGUUAAAAAACUGUUUAGGCGAUAUUCCCCUUUUUUCAGAUGCGCAGACAGCUACUGCAAUCACCACUCUCCCGAACUGCAAACACACGAAUACUGGAAACAGUCGAAUAGGAAAAACCAUGCAAACAGGUUUACACUCCUAGCAGUCAAACUGGAACAGCAUACAAUAAAUCCUCCCCCAAUAAUGAGACGACACUUCACUUUGAGGGUUAAGCAGGAACUCACUUGUAAUGGCCACACACUGGCUUUUAUGCAAGUCCCCAUGCAAGGGGACAUCCCACAGGGUGGGACACAGUAUAACCAAUCGUUUACAGGAGAACCAUAAAACACACCCACAUUUACAUCACAAUCCCUCCUCUCUGUCCUGGAGAUAAGUGUGAAGUAAUCCAAUUAUCUCCCAGGACAGAGGCAAGACUCCAUUAACCACAUGGCAGUAACAAUACAAUAAAAGACAUAAAAUUACAUACAGUUACAUUUAUUCCAUAAAACAUAGACAUUCUACAUAUCCCCAGAUAGCUUAGAUCUGAGUGCACAUUACUACCGAAUGGCGCUCAGAUCACAUACAUACAGUUCAAUCGCCAUGGAGCCAAAGUCUUUCAUACAGUCUUUCAGUAUACGGCUGGGCUCCAUGGCAUAGCUAUCUGGGGUAGCAUGGCUUUAACAGUCCGCAGAAAGGCACGAAUAAACCUUUCUGCCGGUAAAAUAAAAGUUUAAAAUGCAGGACCAUAGUCUAAAGGGAGCAGGCGAGCAACCAGGCCUCUCCAGUGGACAGUGGCGAGGUUGGUUCCGCCACACUUCUCCCCUUUACCAAUCAGACUAACAGGGUAUCUGACUUCCUGCUGGUCAGUGCCCUUGUUAGUCCAGCAGCCCACCCACAAAACACAAUCAGUAAUACAGUCCACCCACAAUAACUGGUUACUACACCUGGGUAAAGGAGAACUUUGUCCAUGUCCAGGUGCCUCACCAUGGAUGUGUGGGUGACUGGUAAGCGGACUGGGUGGGUUGCUGAGUGAGCAGAGACCAGCGGUACUCUGCCCUGGUGCCAGCACUACCACCUGAGUAAUCUGGUUAGAGCCUGGUUCCUGGAGGGGGAGACCGACUUUCUCCCCUUUAGAUACACAGCUCUGCUGCUGGAUGGGAAGACCGACUGUCAACACUUCGGCUAAACGGCCCUGUUGCUGGGGGGCAUGACCGUCUGUCUCCCCUUUGGAUGCACAUCCCUGCUUCCGGGGGACAGGACCGACCAUCCCUAGCCCCUGUGAGGCAUGUGCAGAGAUCACGGUCCCAUCUGCACGGGUGUGGGGCUUAUCAUCUCCCCUUGGUGGGCAAGGCUGCCGCUGAGCAGAGGGGGUAACAAGUUCAUCUCCCUUACCCACUUUUUGUCGCUGGGGAGAGGUAAUGACAAGCUCCUCUCCAUGACUCUCUCUCUGCUGGUGGAGGGGGGGACCGACUGUCUCCCCUUUCAAUAUUUUGUCCUGCUGCUUGGGUGCGAGACCGGAUGUCUCUGCUCCUGGCAGGACACUCUGCCUCUGGGGAGGAAGGACGGUACCUUCAGCUCCCUGUAACAUACACUGCCGCUGGGGAGGAAGGACGGCACCUUCAUCAGCUCCCUGUGACACACACUGCCGCUGGGGAGGAAGGACGGCACCUUCCGCUCCCUGUAAUACACACUGCCGCUGGGGAGGAAGGACGACACCUUCAGCUCCCUGGGACACACACUGCCGCUGGGGAGGAAGGACGGCACCUUCAGCUCCCUGGGACUUGCUCGGCCGCUGGGGUCUCUCCCCCCUGGCUAAAUCUGCUUUUAACUGCAGGUACUCUGCCACUCUUCUCCUUGUGUUUUGUACAUAUUUCUCUUCUGGAUUGGGUCCGAAGAAAGCCAGCAGGCUUUUCAGCAUAGCGUCGGACUCCUCCUGAGUGUAGCUGGGCGCCAUGCUUGCUCUGCUGAAGUUGGCUCUUUUGUAGAUAGGGUCGCUGUACGUGUCCUAGCAUUACCCUCAAUUUGUAAGUCCAGGGAAUGGUGUUACCUUGUAGCUGUCCUUCUGGGCUGUGGGAAUGAUCCCGUCGCUUGCCACCAAUUGUAACGGACCGUUUGCCCACAAGGUGUUAAAAAAACGUUUAGACGAUAUUCCCCUUUUUUCAGAUGCACAGACAGCUACUGCAAUCACCUCUCUCCCGAACUGCAAACACACGAAUACUGGAAACAGCCGAAUAGGAAAAACUAUGCAAAUAGGUUUACACUCCUAGCAGUCAAACUGGAACAGCAUACAAUAAAUCCUCCCCCAAUAAUGAGACUACACUUCACUUUGAGGGUUAAGCAGGAACUCACUUGUAAUGGCCACACACUGGCUUUUAUGCAAGUCCCCAUGCAAGGGGACAUCCCACAGAGUGGGACACAGUACAACCAAUUGUUUACAGGAGAACCAUAAAACACACCCACAUUUACAUCACGAUCCCUCCUCUCUGUCCUGGAGAUAAGUGUGAAGUAAUCCAAUUAUCUCCCAGGACAGAGGCAAGACUCCAUUAACCACAUGGCAGUAACAAUACAAUAAAAGACAAAAUUACAUACAGUUACAUUUAUUCCAUAAAACAUAGACAUUCUACAUAUCCCCAGAUAGCUUAGAUCUGAGUGCACAUUACUACCGAAUGGCGCUCAGAUCACAUAAAUACCGUUCAAUCGCCAUGGAGCCAAAGUCUUUCAUACAGUCUUUCAGUAUACGGCUGGGCUCCAUGGCAAAGCUAUCUGGGGUAGCAUGGCUUUAACAGUCCGCAGAAAGGCACGAAUAAACCUUUCUGCCGGUAAAAUAAAAGUUUAAAAUGCAGGACCAUAGUCUAAAGGGAGCAGGUGAGCAACCAGGCCUCUCCAGUGGACAGUGGCGAGGUUGGUUCCGCCACAGGCUUUAUGGCAGAGUGGCCAGAAGAAAGCCAUUACUUUCAGCAAACAUCAAAAUGGCAUGUUUUAAGUUUGCGAAAAGGCAUGUGGGAGACUCCCAAAAUGUAUGGAGGAAGGUGCUCUGGUCUGAUGAGAUUAAAAUUUAACUUUUCGGCCAUCUAAAGAAAACGUUAUGUCUGGUGCAAACCCAACACAUCACAUCAUUCAAAGAACACCAUCACCAACACCAACACCAGCAUCAUGCUGUGGGGAUGUUUUUCAGCAGCUGAGACUGGGAAACUGGUCAGAGUUGAGGGUAAGAUGGAUGGUGCUAAAUACAGGGAUAUUCUUGAGCAAAACCUCUACCACUCUGUGCGUGAUUUGAGGCUAGGACGGAGCUUCACCUUCCAGCAGGACAAUGACCCCAAACACACUGCUAAAGCAAUACUUGAGUGGUGUAAAGGAAAACAUGUAAAUGUGUUGGAAUGGCCUAGUCAAAGCCAAUAGAAAAUCUGUGGUCAAACUUAAAGAUUGCUGUUCACAAGCGCAGUUUUGCAAGGAGGAAUGGGCAAAAAUCCCAGUGGUAAGAUGUGGCAAGCUCAUAGAUACUUAUCCAAAGCGACUUAGAGCUGUGAUUACUGCACAAGGUGGCUCUACAAAGUAUUGACUUUAGGGGGAUGAAUAGUUAUGCACAUUGACUUUUUCUGUUAUUUUGUCCUACUUGUUGUUUGCUUCACAAUUUAAAAAAAAAAAUCUUCAAAGUUGUGGGCAUGUUCUGUAAAUUAAAUGAUGCAAAUACUCAAACAAUCCAUGUUAAUUCCAGGUUGUGAGGCAACAAAAUACGAAAAAUGCCAAGGGGUGUGAAUACUUUUGCAAGGCACUGUAUACAUGUUGAAACAUUACCCUGUGCUGAGGACCUUUCUUUUUUACUCCCUUAUUACCAAGGGGAACCAUGCACAGAUCCCUCUCUUGCAACCACCCAUGGGUAUUGGGUAAGAGCUUUAAUAUAAAAAAUAGGAAUGGGGAGAUCAUUGUCCUCCUCCAGCCAAGUGUGUGUGUGUGUGUGUGUGUGUAUAUCUAUAUUUUCAGCUAGGAUAAUUUCAUCUCAUUGACUUGUUUAUAAUGUCGGCCCCAAAUGGAGGUAUGGCUAAGGCAGACUUUACACAUUUCUUUGGUAUUUUCAUAUCAUACCAGCAAUGGACAGCUAAACUGUAAAGUAGUUAGUGUCUACAGUGUCUCUUUUAAGUCUCUGCUGCACCAAACCGGAUCCCAAUUAGACUUCUCAGGCCCUAAAAUGUAUUACUGAUAUAUUCAACAUAGUUCACUUUAGAAGAAGUCAAUCCUUUGAAACUUAAAAUGUGUUUGUUAGGCUUUUAUGUAGAAAAUGAAAAACUGAAACACAACUGCAGGUUCAACUCUUUAAUUUGUCACUUAAAGAGGAACGUUUAACAAGAACAAAAUAUAAUUGUGAAUUGUAGAGAAUUUAGUAUCUGCAUUUUUAAAAUUUCUUCUAAUAAUAAUUUAAUAUUUAAUAUUUCUUCUAAUAUAAUCUUCACUUUCAAUAAAUCAAAAAUGUAAAUUCACUUUAAAUUGCUCGAGAGGCUGUGCAGAAAACAUAACAAUUUUGAAUAAAUAGAUAUGCAAUUUAAAUAGCUUGAUGAUUAGGAAUUUGAAACAAUUUGAAUAUUUGAAUUGUCACUUUAAAAUUUUUUAAGCAGUUGUACUUUAAUUUGGUAGAUUUUCGGUAUGUUAACAGUCUCCAGUAACUUCAGAAUGCAUGGAAAGGAAGAGGGUCUCUUUAAUGGAAAUCAAAUAUCACUUUAAAUCAGUUCAGGACAUGUAGACACCAUGUAGCCUCCAUAAAUAGUAAUAAAGUCAUUUUAAUUUUAAACAAAAGUUGAACGCAUCCUGGCAACUUUAGUUAAUAAUUUCCUAGAAAAAAUAAUCCAAAGUAAAAGUCUUUGUAUUAAUGGGAUAUCUAUAUCCAGAAAGAGAAUCAAUAAAUGUGCUCUUAUUCACUUUAUUCAGGAUUUGAAUAAAUUAAAGCUUUAAGUUUACCUUAGAGCAACGGUUCCCAAACUGUGUGUCGCGGUGCCCCAGGGUUUUCCUGGUGAUAUCAUUAUAGCACCAGGAAACAUUUCCGUUGAACAGGGGCCCGGUCAGUGUAGUGUCGACAGGCUGAGAGGAAGUGACAGCUUGUCACUUCCUCCCAGCUUCAGGCAGCUUCAUGCAGAAAAAGAGGUAGAGGAGGCAGCUACAGAGGAAGCAUGAGGAGAGUAGAAGGAACACGAAGAGCUGCUCCAGACCCCUCACUCCCAACAGCCAGGAGUUAGGACCAGGAUUCCAAUCAAGCCACCGUACUGGACACACAAGGUAAGCUAUCAGGAGAGUGGCUAGAGAUAUAAAAAAUAUCACUUGAAUGUGUUUAUGUCAGAUUGUGUGUGUGUGGGUUAGGCUGUGCAUCUGUGUGUCUGUAUAUAUAUGUCAGUGUGCUUCUGUGUGUAUCUGUGUCUGUGUGUGCGCACACAUCUGUGUGUCAGGAUGUGCGUCCUGGUGUGUAUUUUUAUGUCAGUGUGUGUAUCUGUACCAUGGUGUAUGCAUGUGUCAGUGUUUGUGUGUAUCAGGGUGUGUGUUUUUAUGUCAGUGUAUGUAUGUGUGUAAUGGUGUGUGUGUAUAUGUCAGUGUGUAUCUAUGUGUCAGUGUGUAUCUGUGUGGGUAUUUGUUGGUGUGUAUAUAAAUUUGUGUGUAUGUGUUGGUGUAUUUAUAUGUUAAUUGUUAUGUUAUGUUAUGUUAAUUUGCAUGUAUAUCUGUGUAAGUAUGUAUGCAUGUGGUAGUGUAUGUGCAUACAUCCAAGCAGUCAAACACCAACACAACAUACAAACACACUCCUGCAAUGAAACAUAAAUAUUACAUACAAACACACCCGGCAUUCAACUCCAAAAUGAUAUACAAACACACCCCUUCACUCAAACACAAAAACUUCACACAAAAGUACAUCUGCAUUUAAAAGUGAACAUUACGUUCAAACACACCCCUGUAUUAAAACACUAGAACUAUAUGCAACCACCCCUUCAAACACCAACGCUGUACAUUACACUAUAGCGUCAGUAUAUGCCGCAGAGCUGUACAGAUAUACAACCAAGAAAUAUUGACUUGGGGCUCCUUGAAAAAAUAUUGAAAUAUUAAGGGUGCCUUGAACCUAAAAAGGUUUGGAACCACUGCCUUAGAGCAUGAUUUCAUAGGUUUCAUAAACAAUAGACGUGUCUUGGAGUCCUAGGACAGAAUUGGCGAAAACAGCAGAAACUAGAUCACAAGCAGAGGUUGGCAGGCUAGCUUGGUAAGUAUUGAGCUCAAAUGGCAGUAUUAAAUUGCUAGAUACUAAUUAAAUGAGCAAUUCAAUAGUGCCGUGAGUCGGACUAACUAGGCGGGUUUCUGAUGUCAGACGCAAAGGCGCCUUACGAAACCCAGAAGUCCGGCAACGGGAUCGCCAAUAGCGGUAUGUGACAGCUUUACAUUUUGCAAGCCUAACAAUAGACAAUGAAAAGAAUGGCAGAUUUAAGAAUCACAGACUCUGCAUACUUUUACUAGUAAUUCAAUCUUCGGAACUAUUUCUGCAGUAUUUAAUUUGAGACAGUGAUCAAGAUGACAAUUGGUACGGUUUUACUUGGAGAGCUUCAUUCUGAAAAACAUCUGUUCACAUAAGUAAGUGCUUCAGAAGAAUGAGAAAAUUCUUGGUGCAUGCAUUCUUCAACUGACAAAUGUUCCAUUUUCAAAAUACUUUUGGUAAAAUCCUGGGAGAGACAAUUCAUAAAAUUUGACUGAGGUCUGAGCCACAUUGAAGGUCCAUGAUUUUCAUUUGAACAUUUCUCUGAGUCUCCAUUACAUAUAGAAAGAGUGGGGUUUGCUACCCUAUUCAGGGUCCUUUCUUGAGCACGUAUAUCUUGGAAUCUCUCUUGGAACUGAACUAUUGUAGCCAUGUUAUAAGGAUCAUAUUUUGUAGACUACAAUUUCAACAUGCUUAAAGGGACUCUCCAGUGCCAGGAAAACACCUCCCAUCCCCGGUUGCUGAAGGGGUGAAAACCCCUUCAGUCACUUACCAAAGGCAGCAACGAUGUCCCUCGUUGCUGCUUCUUCCUCCCCUUCAUCACGUCAGCCGGCGGGGGAGACUGAUCACACCCGCCGGCCGGGGAGACCUAAUGCGCAUGUGCGCCAAUGCCACGCGCGUGCAUUAGACCUCUCCAUGGGAGAGCAUUGAAAAUGCUUUCAAAUGCUUUCCUAUGGGGAUUUUAGCGAUGCUGGAGGUCCUCACACAGUGUGAGGACGUCCAGCGACGCUAUAGCACAGAAAACCUGUGCUAUGGACCAGGAAGUGCACUCUAGUGGCUGUCUAGUAGACAGCCACUAGGGAAGGACUUAACCCUGUAAAGUAAUUAUUGCAGAUUAUGAAAACUGCAAUAAUUACAGUUGCAGGGUUAAGGGUAGUGGGAGUUGGCACCCAGACCACUCCGAUGGGCAGAAGUGGUCUGGGUGCCUGGAGUGUCCCUUUAAGAAAUUAGUUACAUUUGGAUCUUGAAAUUGGCACUUAAAGAGUACUAAUUAUAUCUGAAAAGUUUUUGAUGUGAUUAAACAAGACAUGCACAAGUUGAUCUUUUGAUUGAAGCUUCAAAUUUAACCCGUUACAUGACAGCUCUCCUUUUGGAUCCAUCCAGUAUAGAAUGACGAUUAAAUGUAGAAUGCCUCAGGGUCAAGCCAGUAUAUUGAGCCCUAUAACUCCAUUCCUAGUAUGUGGGGGAGUUGAACUCUUCAUGUUAACAAACUUAAUCUCUGCAUACCAUAGGCCACAUCAUGCCUUUUGCACAAUCUGUGGACUAGUGACUUAUUCUUGUCUCUGUACCUUGCUUUUCAGUUACCAAAAACAUUAGACGUUGUUCCGAGCACCCUCAUUUUCUAUUACACAAAAUACAAAAUGUUCAUGAGAUGAAUUUAUAAAUAAAUCAUGGUGUUUCCCUGUUUAGGACAAUCUUAUGGAACAAGUCAAUAUAAUGAAGAAGGUCUGAAAGAUUUCUUUACGAGACAGAAAGUUCCCAUUUCCCUUGCCAUCAAUGAUACUUACGUGUUUCUUAAGGAUUUAGAAACGUCUGGUUACAUCUCAGAAGAUUUGUUGGUAAGUCAUUAGUCUUUUCCUAAUGUUGGAUGUUUUUGUAUUUUCAUGUUGAAGGCAAUGAUGUGAGUGAUGUCUUUCCAUUAAAAUUGAGAAAUUAGAGCUCUACAUCUGGAAACUUGUUGUAGCUUGCCUUUUUUAGAUUUAAACCAACAUCUUAAUAAAGAAAUGGAUUGUUACAGAACAUUUGGGUCCAGUCUGGCAUUAAGCUCUACUUUUUCCAUUGCAUGCCUUGGAAUGUCUAACUAGUGUAAGAGCUCCCACUCAGCAUGAUUCAACUAUGAAUCUUGCCCAAAAAAUACUUUAAAAAAAAUCAUAGGUAUGCACACCUUAAAUCAGUAUAUAAGUUGUUUUUUUUUAGUCAAACAUUUAUCGAAUACCCAAACAUUUAUUUUUAUUCUGCAAAUUUACAUUUUAAAAUUGUAAAAAAAAAAAAAAGAAAACUGAUAAAAAAGGAGAAACGUUCUACAGAUGGCUUCAUCAUGCAUUUGUCGGCAUAGUUCUCUAGGGCACCCUCCAUUCUGGUGAUGGAGUAGAACCUUCUGCUGUGUAGGGAUGAUCAGAGGUGCCUUGUCUUGGCAACAUUACAUGCAAAGCAAGAUAGUUUAAGCCGUGAUUUGUCAUAAGUGCGAUUAUGGCUCACAGCUCACGAAAACCCCAAAUCAAAGCACAUUAAUAGAAAUACACUUUCACUGUGUGAAAGUGUAUGUCUACAGGAGGCGGUGUGUGUGUAUGGGAGGCAGUGAUAACCACUAUAGCUCUGUAUAGUGAUUACGCUUUAAGGGCCCUGGGGCAUUAUUUGCUACUUCAAAACAUUUAUAAUGGUCUAACAUUGACCUGAGCUCUCCUCAGCACCCAUAGACCAUAUCUGUGUUAGUCAUAAAGUGGAUUUUAUGCUUUUUCAUUAUCAAUGUCGAUUUUGUCGACAGCAGUGAUGAGCUGAGAGGUGUGGGGUGGGUUUGGAGCCUAGAACUGGGGCAUAGCAGCACCCAGAAACUGUUGGCAACACAAUCACUACACUGAACUGUAAUGGUUAUGUUGUUUUGAGUGCAUCAAUAAUGAAUAUAUACACUGAUUGAAAACCAGUGUGGGGCUCACAAAAUUGCUAGAGAACAAAUUCUAGAAGCUGAGCAAAGAAAAAUAAAUGUGGGUGCUCUUGCUUGUCAUAUUUAUGUCCAUAGUUCCAAAACUGUUAUAUGUUCGGUAGCCCAUUGGUGAUUUGAAAUCUUUUUAACAUAGACUGAAUAAAUACUUUCCUCCCAUAGAAGUCAUCGAUAGUUACCGAGCCUGCCUGUAAAGCUGUUUAUAGAUGUCUGUGCUGGAUACAAGAAAAGGAAAGGCCACUUAAAGAUUUCUUUGAUUUUCUGUUACGUGAACUCUACAUAGAAG